AAUUUUUAAAAACCGAAAAACCCUAAAACAUUUGAGUUUCUAAGAAGAAGAACGAGAAAGACUCUCUCGCUCUGUCGCUCCCUUCCACCCGCGGCGGUGCCGCCGUAUCACCGUCUCUGACGAACGCCGUACUCCGUUUCCGCUGCUGUCGCCACCGUCUCCGAUUAGCUCUGGUCCUUUUCUCUCUCCUACUUUAUCUCGAUUGGCUCGAUUUCAAACCUAAAGUCGGGGUUGCAUCUCCGCUUCUGAUUCGGAAACCUUAAAUGUACCCUUAUCGAAACAGAUUUAGGGUUUUGAGCGAAGUCGAUGAAAUACUGAACCUAGAUUGUUCUUCAAAUCGAUGAAAUAGGCUUUGGGCUUAGGAGAUUGACCCUUCUCUGUUUCUGAUCUCGCCUUGUGUGUUUUAUUUUUCCCGCCUGGUUCAUUGCUAUCGCCACUGCGUUCGUGGGUGGGUUAGAAAUCUUGAACGUGAUUAGGUAGGGAAUUGGAAGUGAGCUCCAGUGCUGAAGUUUGUAUUUUGACCGUAAUUGAAUUGGCUGUCAGUCUUUUAUGUGGUGUCUCCAUUGUUAUGCAGAGUGUAAGCAAGAGAUUAUAUAAUUAGAUGGUAAUAUGGAGAAAUACGAUAUUGUUUUUCUUCCAACUUUCCAACGAAAGAAUGUCGACGUAAUGCUACACUUAGAAAUUAACAUCAGUGUCUUGCAGAGCGCAUUUUAGCCCAUUUUCUUUAGAAAUAUGACAGCUGCUUCUUCUGGGGAAAGCGAGGAAGAAGAAGUUGAGAGAAUGAGAUCUGUCUCUCCUAUGUAUUUUAGCUAAGAUUGUGGCAUUGAGAUAGGAGAAAACCCGUCGUGCAAAAGAACAGAACCAAGGCAGCUGUGGCUUUUAUAGAAGGGGUUCCUCUACUGCACAAGAGGAUGUUGUUUGUUCUCCUGUGGUGGUUUCGACAGCCAACCACUGUAGCGGAUUUGGAGGAGAGCAAGAAGAUCUGCUCCAAGCGGUCAGCUUCGGACAUGAUCGAUGGGGCAAAAGGUAAGGGUGAAGUGGAGAAAGUGAGAAUGAACCGGUGCUGCACAAGAGGAUGUUGUUUUUUCUCCUAUGGCAGUUUCGACAGCCACUACUGUAGCGGGUGUGGUGGAAGGCAAAAAGAUCCCUGGAGGGAGGAUUUUUACAAAGGAAGAUGAUAUUUUGAUGUUGGAGGCUAUAAUUGAGUGUCGUGUUAAGACAGGAACUGAACCCAGCUCUCAUGCGGGAGGCUUUUAUGAUUUUGUCAAAGGUUCUCUCCAUGUCGAAGUGUCCAAGACACAGGUCAUGGACAAAAUCAGGUCGCUGCAGAAGAAGUUUCGAGGUAUGGUGGGAAAAUAUAGACAUGAGCAAGAAUUAGCAUUCACACCUCAUGACUCGAAAGUGUUGGAUUUGUCAAUGCAAAUUAGGGGUGUGACUGAUAGUAUAGGAGAAAAACCGAUUGGAAGUGAGGCCCCCCCAGAUGAAACAUACGGCAGGUACGAUUGACAUGACCGGUAAGAAACCUGUGACUCGUAGAUGGCAGAAACAGAAUGCGAUGGAGAAGCAUCAAGAACCAGGAAAUGCAGAAGAUGAGGACAAUUAUGAGCUGCACGAUAGAGAUGUUCAAGUUGUCGGAAAUAGGAUCGAUGUGGCUGAGGAGGACAGAGGUGAAGGAAAAGAGAGCGGACACGGUGAUGCAGACGACUUCUGGGCCCGGUUUCCCUUAUUGAAGGAUGGAGUUGAGACGAUGUUGUCUGAAGGGCUCUUCCUCGAUUUCCCCGCUGCUUGAGAAAGUUGUGUGCUUUGGCUGGGACAAAGGGAAGGAGUGGGAUGCGAAAUGGAAGGAGAUGCGACUGCGCAUUAGGAAGCUUGAUGUUAUGGCUGGGUUCUCGCGGGCAGCUCUUGAUGAGCUGAAGAAGUGAUUGCAAUGUCCACGGUACUCUUUUGCAAUCCGAUCUUUAAGCAUGUUAGAGACAGAACCUAUCUCAGUGCUCAUCUAAUGUCGGUUUUUUGGCCCUUGUUGUCAAUAAAUCUUAGCAUUUAUAUAGGGUUCUUUCUCCCGGGAGAGACAAAUCACAGAUGGCAAACAUGUUAAAUGUCCAUAAUCUCGCAUUUAUUCGUCUAAUUAAUUAAGUUAAUAUC